GAAAAGCUCUAGCAUGCUGCAGACUAACAUGUUUGAAGACUUCUCGAGGAGAUCUUCAAAAAUGAUAGCCCGGAGCCUAAUUGUGUUUUUUUAAUUAUGUUGAGACAGUUUGAAUAAGCCAGUGUGAUAGAUUACAACCACACCUUUGGCAUGCCAACACAUACUUCUGAGGGAGCACUCUGAAUUUGCAAAGCACAGCAUGGGAAUGCUUUGCAUAUGAACAUUUUCAUGUGAUGAAUUCAGGAAAGGAGCAGUCCCUCAUCCCCAGAAGAAUGCCCCUCAUUCCUGUAAUGCAGGAGGGGUAUUAUUGGCCAGUUUCUAGACAGCUAUUACCAUUUAGCUCUGCUUUUCAAAUGAAAGGUAUUUGAAAUAUAAGGAUAGAGGACAAAAGUAACACCUACUAGACUAUACUUCUAACUUCAAAACUUUGUCAGUGAUCAAAGGGAAGGAAGUGAUUCAUACCUUCAUAGCAUUAUGAUCAUGGCAAUCUGUUCCUCCUCAUUCUGUUUCCAGACUUCAUUCAGGGAUGUGACACCUUCUGCUCCUCUAUCCAUGAUCUCCCACAAGCUUGGGUUCCCACACAACAGGAAGUGGCUGGGAAUUUGUUUACUGAUACCGACAUGUGAAGUCAGGUCUCUGAGAGCUGAGGUAUGUUAUUGAAUUAAUCCCUUCUAACACUUUGUGCUUUGUUCUGAUGUGUUUUCAGAUAAGAGUUACCAUUAUGACAAAAGAAUUUGUCAUCGGUUCUUUGCCAUAACACCAUCUGCAGAGAACGCGUCACUUCAGAAACCUC
rnacentral:lncRNA from 1 species